CAAUAGCGUAUAUUAAUGUUGUUGCAGUUAAAAAGCUCGUAGUUGGAUUUCUGGUGGGAGUGGCCGGUCCGCCGUAAGGUGUGUACUUGGUUGUCUCCCGUCAUCCUUGUGGGAACUGCUCUGGCAUUAAGUUGUCGGGGUUAGGGAACACAUCGUUUACUGUGAAAAAUUAGAGUGUUUAAAGCAGGCUUAUGCCGUUGAAUACAUUAGCAUGGAAUAAUAAGAUAGGACUUUGGCGUCUAUUUUGUUGGUUUGCACACCAAGGUAAUGAUUAAUAGGGACAGUCGGGGGCAUUUGUAUUCAAACGACAGAGGUGAAAUUCUUGGACCGUUUGAAGACAAACUACUGCGAAAGCAUUUGCCAAGAAUGUUUUCAUUAAUCAAGAACGAAAGUUAGAGGUUCGAAGACGAUUAGAUACCAU
rnacentral:rRNA from 1 species